AUGGCGCAACGCGAUCACAAGCAGGAGGAGCCCACGGAGCUGCGGGCGCCGGAGAUCACGCUCUGCGCCAACAGCUGCGGCUUCCCCGGCAACCCGGCCACGCACAACCUCUGCCAGAACUGCUUCUUGGCCGGACCGGCCUCCACGUCGCCGUCUUCCUCCUCCUCCUCUUCUCUACCGGGCGUGUCCGUGUCGACCCCCGUCGUCGACAGGCCGAGGCCGGCGCCGGUGGAGGUCGAGCUCGCCGUUGACCUUGCUCCGGCGAGGACGUCGGUGAACCGGUGCUCCAGCUGCCGGAAGCGCGUGGGGCUGACGGGGUUCCGGUGCCGGUGCGGCGACAUGUUCUGCGGCGAGCACCGGUACUCGGACCGGCACGGGUGCAGCUACGACUACAAGGCCGCCGCCCGGGACGCCAUCGCCCGGGACAACCCCGUGGUGCGCGCCGCCAAGAUCGUCAGGUUCUGA
rnacentral:rRNA from 1 species